UACGGAGGGUGCAAGCGUUAUCCGGAUUUAUUGGGUUUAAAGGGUCCGUAGGCGGACGUUUAAGUCAGCGGUGAAAGCCCAUAGCUUAACUAUGGAACUGCCGUUGAUACUGAUCGUCUUGAGUACAAGUGAGGUUGGCGGAAUGUGUGGUGUAGCGGUGAAAUGCUUAGAUAUCACACAGAACACCGAUUGCGAAGGCAGCUGGCCAACUUGUAACUGACGCUGAGGGACGAAAGUGUGGGGAUCAAACAGG
rnacentral:rRNA from 1 species